rnacentral:lncRNA from 1 species
CCAGAGUCUACACUCUGGCCUCCUUAAUCCCGAGGGAAAAUGUCAAUUGACAUUUAUCAUUUAGCUUGAGCAGCUGUUUUUCCUCUAGCACAGACAUUUUAGUCCCUACCCACAUGUUUACUCCAAAGUGGGCAAACAAAGAGACAGCCAGAGCCUUGUUUUUCUCACCCCCCAAGUGCUGUGACGGCGUUUGCAUUUCCUGCUUUGCUCAGGCCGGCGGCUGAGUUUGCAACCUUUGCUAUUGACAAAGACUCUGGUCUCCCUCCCUGCCUUCUCUCCCCCUCACCUCUUUCUCCAUUGUACCCUCUCCUCCCACCUUCGGUUCACUUGAAGACUAGUGUUUAUGGCAUUGCUGUGAGGCUGAAUAACUUCAGGACCACUGAAUCCUCAAUCUUCAGAAAAGAGAACGAGAAAGAAUGUUCUCAGUUACAACUGGGACAUUUGGGCCCGAGGCAACACUAUGGACAACGUUGUACCAAACCAGGAGCGAUGGAUCAACACAGCAGCAACCUCUUGCUUAGUGAGCACUGUCCUCCUUGGGGCGCUGGAUGGAGUUGGGGUCUGGGAGCCACUAACACCUCUUGA